UACGUAGGGUGCGAGCGUUGUCCGGAAUUACUGGGCGUAAGGAGCUUGUAGGUGGUUUGUCGCGUUGUUCGUGAAAUCUCACGGCUCAACUGUGAGCGUGCGGGCGAUACGGGCAGACUAGAGUACUGCAGGGGAGACUGGAAUUCCUGGUGUAGCGGUGGAAUGCGCAGAUAUCAGGAGGAACACCGGUGGCGAAGGCGGGUCUCUGGGCAGUAACUGACGCUGAGAAGCGAAAGCGUGGGGAGCGAACAGG
rnacentral:rRNA from 1 species